rnacentral:rRNA from 1 species
GUGUCAGCAGCCGCGGUAAUACAGAGACUGCAAGCGUUAUUCGGAUUCACUGGGCGUAAAGGGUGCGCAGGCCGCCGUGUGUGUGAGGUGUGAAAUCCCGGAGCUUAACUCCGGAACUGCGCCUCAAACUACACGGCUAGAGCAUUGGAGAGGGAAGUGGAAUUCACGGUGUAGCAGUGAAAUGCGUAGAUAUCGUGAGGAACACCAGAGGCGAAGGCGACUUCCUGGACAAUUGCUGACGCUCAGGCACGAAAGCGUGGGGAGCAAAAGGGAUUAGAAACCCUCGUAGUCC